rnacentral:misc_RNA from 1 species
GAUGAAGAACGUAGUGAAAUGCGAUAAGUAAUGUGAAUUGCAGAAUUCAGUGAAUCAUCGAAUCUUUGAACGCACAUUGCGCCCGCCAGUAUUCUGGCGGGCAUGCCUGUUCGAGCGUCAUUUGUACCUUCAAGCUUUGCUUGGUGUUGGGUGUUUGUCUCGCCUUUGCGUGUAGACUCGCCUUAAAAUAAUUGGCAGCCGGCGUAUUGAUUUCGGAGCGCAGUACAUCUCGCGCUUUGCACUCAUAACGACAGCGUCCAAAAGUACAUUUUACACUCUUGACCUCGGAUCAGGUAGGGAUACCCGCUGAACUUAAGCAUAUCAAUAAGCGGAGGA